UAGGGAAUCUUCCACAAUGGACGAAAGUCUGAUGGAGCAACGCCGCGUGAGUGAAGAAGGUUUUCGGAUCGUAAAACUCUGUUGUUGGAGAAGAACACGUUUGAGAGUAACUGUUCAGACGUUGACGGUAUCCAACCAGAAAGCCACGGCUAACUACGUGCCAGCAGCCGCGGUAAUACGUAGGUGGCAAGCGUUAUCCGGAUUUAUUGGGCGUAAAGCGAGCGCAGGCGGUUUUUUAAGUCUGAUGUGAAAGCCUUCGGCUUAACCGAAGAAGUGCAUCGGAAACUGGGAAACUUGAGUGCAGAAGAGGACAGUGGAACUCCAUGUGUAGCGGUGAAAUGCGUAGAUAUAUGGAAGAACACCAGUGGCGAAGGCGGCUGUCUGGUCUGUAACUGACGCUGAGGCUCGAAAGCAUGGGUAGCGAACAGG
rnacentral:rRNA from 1 species